UACGUAGGGGGCUAGCGUUGUCCGGAAUCAUUGGGCGUAAAGCGCGUGUAGGCGGUUCGGCACGUCCGCUGUGAAAGUCGGGGGCUCAACCCUCGAAAGCCGGUGGAUACUGUCGGACUAGAGUGCGGAAGAGGCGAGUGGAAUUCCUGGUGUAGCGGUGAAAUGCGCAGAUAUCAGGAAGAACACCCGUGGCGAAGGCGGCUCUCUGGGACGGUACUGACGCUGAGACGCGAAAGCGUGGGGAGCGAACAGG
rnacentral:rRNA from 1 species